GUUUUAAUAGUUUAAAAAAAACGCCGGUCUUGUAAACCGAAAAUAAGGUCGCCCCCCCUUUUUAAAACU
rnacentral:tRNA from 1 species